ensembl:lncRNA
AGCCACUUGAAAAAGCCAAUCAGCAAAAUGAAACUCCCUGCCCACCUCAAUUAACUCCCAAAUGAGAAUGAGGAUGAAGUCUUUUCGGCAGGAGAGACCUGAAGGAAACUGCAGGAAAUGUGCCAUACUUAGUGUCAUUCUGUAUGCAGUGCUGUCAGAUUCUAAGAAUGUCAAAAAUAAAGAGAGAAAGAGAGAAAAAAGAGGAUGAGGAGGCAUUCUUCCCAAGUAUCUCCUCUCUUCUCCCUAAGAUGGACUUGUGAAGCUUUCAAGCUUCAGCACAGUUGAUAUUCUUAGACUUCUCUUCAACAUCAUCAUUUGAAUUUCCUCACUCACUUCUGUAUAUGUAUUUUUUUCUGAAACCCAGAAAUGAGCAUCCUCACUGCCCAGACACUGGUUUAUAAACACCAUUCUCUAAUUUUAAAAAUUCAGAAAUUCUUGGUAAAUGGUCGGUUGCAAAUCUUGGGGGAAAAACGGUGAGAUGAAGCUAGAUCACCUCAUGUCAAAAGAAGUUAAACUGAGAAACCAAGGAGCUAAAGGACUUGCCAAAUCAUCGAUGCACUUCUGGAAGGUGGUAGAGCAAAGAUUCAAAUCUUAAC